UACGUAGGGUGCAAGCGUUGUCCGGAAUUAUUGGGCGUAAAGAGCUCGUAGGCGGUCUGUCGCGUCCGUUGUGAAAACUCGAGGCUCAACCUCGGGCUUGCAGUGGAUACGGGCAGACUAGAGUGCGGUAGGGGAGACUGGAAUUCCUGGUGUAGCGGUGGAAUGCGCAGAUAUCGAGAGGAACACCAGUGGCGAAGGCGAGUCUCUGGACAAUUCCUGACGCUGAGGCACGAAAGCUAGGGGAGCAAACAGG
rnacentral:rRNA from 1 species